UGCGGGGAGCCGCCGCCAAGCACUUCCGAGGCGCACCGGAAACGGAUGUGAUGUAUACCAAGGGAACUCGCUGCUGUCCGGCAGGAGUGACGUCAGGCGCACGCACUCUAGUGACGAACAAUCCGACUAGUUCCACGGAAGGCGGCGGCGCGUCCGGUCUCCCCGCAGCCGCCCCGCCCGCCGCUCGGCUGUUCCAGGGCUGCCGUCGGCAAACGCAGCCUCCCUCCCUUACCCUGACUGAAAUGACAGCGGACACCCGCGGGUCCCACCGUCUGCUCCCCAAACCGCCUCUCGGGGAGUUUAUAAAGAGAUGUUUUAAAAUCAGCCGCUGCCCGGUCUCUCAGGACAUGCCCAGCUGCCACCCUCCCCUCAGGGUCCACCACCCGCAGAGGCGCAGGAACUAGCUCCUGUCCCGCAGCCACGGCGAGGCCCGUCCUAAACCGUUUUCUGCAACUUGUCUCCGCUAUAAAAGGCCCCUGGCAGCAGAUUUUUAUUGCAGUUCCACCUCCUUUUAGUAGACCUGGACACUAAAGUCUAAGUUUUCCAGCUCCUGCAAACCCUGCCAACCAGGCUGGGACUAUACAGUACAGUCUUUUAUGGCAUCAUUCCCUUGGUCCAACCGAUUCUUCACUCUAUUAAGGAGGGAGGUGUUCUAAAAUGUGCUUUGGAAAAAUAGCUUUAUUAGACAUAAAUAGCUCUCAGUUCCUUUACAAACAUUGGUAUGCUUUUGUUCUCGAUUCAAAUGCAAAACUGUUUUGCUGCCAGUGGUGAGUAAAAACAAAAACCAAGAGCCUGUCUCAAGACUUGGCAACGCAAUAGUAGUAUCAGUAGUAGUAUCAUUAGUACAGGUGACCAGUUUGGGAGUAGUCUCAUUCUCCCAGCCACUGGGGCCAGUGAAAGGGAGAAGGCUGUUUGUUCUACAAGCGUUUCCUAGAAAGGUCUACAAAGAUCAUUGAAAAAAAUGACAACUCCAGCUCCUGGCCAGAGGAUAAAUACAGUACGAGUAGUGGUCUGGCAGAAGUGAGGACCUGGCAUACAAAGAGGGAGAUGCAUGAAGGGGAGAAAUUUCUGGGAUUUAAGCUGGAUGUCCAUCAUAACCCUGCACUUUCAGGGAUAGCCCCAUGCUCAUAGUGGAGGGUCCAAAAAGCAAGUUAAGGCUACCAUCAAAAACACCACACAUAAGGAUCAGCUAAUAAUCUCUGUUAUAUGUUUUAUGUCAAAAUGGAAUAUGUAAUAUUAAUAACUUUAGUAUUCAUUUGUUACAGCUAUAAUUAAGUUACAAAUACAAGAGCAAGAGUCUCCAAACUGAAGUAAUUUAAAAAUGCACCCAUUCUUUAUCAAAUCAGUAAAAGAAUAAGGAAGUUAUCUUACAGCGGGCAAGCAGCUACACAAUCUUAGUUCCAGAAAACAGAAUUAUAAUACAAAUCAAAAACAGCUCAGCUAUAAAUGGCCACCACUAUUUUUCAUAUAUUAAUUCACCCAUAAGACACAGGGAAUUGAAAUCUAGUAGACUGACUGCAUCCACUGAAGAAAAUUGUGCCAUUUCCCCAUUAAUAGAAAAAAAGUCAGCAGUAUAACAACUUUCUUCAAAGAAACCAUCAGCCAUUCAUCUUGUAUUCUAAGAUGUAGUGAUAAUAAAGUUAUACUUGGAGGGCA
ensembl:lncRNA